rnacentral:rRNA from 1 species
CCUACGGGUGGCUGCAGUCGAGAAUCAUUCACAAUGGGGGAAACCCUGAUGGUGCGACGCCGCGUGGGGGAAUGAAGGUCUUCGGAUUGUAAACCCCUGUCAUGUGGGAGCAAAUUAAAAAGAUAGUACCACAAGAGGAAGAGACCGCUAACUCUGUGCCAGCAGCCGCGGUAAUACAGAGGUCUCAAGCGUUGUUCGGAAUCACUGGGCGUAAAGCGUGCGUAGGCUGUUUCGUAAGUCGUGUGUGAAAGGCGCGGGCUCAACCCGCGGACGGCACAUGAUACUGCGAGACUAGAGUAAGGGAGGGGGAACCGGAAUUCUCGGUGUAGCAGUGAAAUGCGUAGAUAUCGAGAGGAACACUCGUGGCGAAGGCGGGUUCCUGGACAUUAACUGACGCUGAGGCACGAAGGCCAGGGGAGCGAAAGGGAUUAGAUACCCGGGUAGUC